UACGUAGGGUCCGAGCGUUGUCCGGAAUUAUUGGGCGUAAAGAGCUCGUAGGCGGUUUGUCGCGUCUGCUGUGAGAUCCCGAGGCUCAACCUCGGGCCUGCAGUGGGUACGGGCAGACUUGAGUGGUGUAGGGGAGACUGGAAUUCCUGGUGUAGCGGUGGAAUGCGCAGAUAUCAGGAGGAACACCGAUGGCGAAGGCAGGUCUCUGGGCACUUACUGACGCUGAGGAGCGAAAGCGUGGGGAGCGAACAGG
rnacentral:rRNA from 1 species